rnacentral:ncRNA from 7 species
GCCCAGCUAGCCCACUUGGUGGAGCACAAGGCUUCUAACCUUGUGGUCGUGGGUUCAAAUCCUACAGUUUGCA